GGGGACGACACGGCAUCGACGGGUUGGUAGAGAUGCGGAAUAAGCAUGCAGUGGGUUGCUAAGGAACCACUCAAAUCCUCUUUAGCGAACAAUAAAUGGCGAAAAUUCUUACGCGCUUGCUGCUUAAUUAGAUUAAGUAGCGAGAUGUCUCCCGAAGGCCUCUGGCUGUCGGGUCUUCAUCAGGGAGGCACAUCAAACACAGACAGCCUGCGGCCGUGGACCGCCACGAACACGGUCUAAGAUCAGUGGCAACCUCAGUUGGCAAGGCCCCGUUGCCCGGGCAGCCAACUGAAAAUAAUGGGCAACUAAGCAUGUAGAAAGCCGUAUGGCUGCCUUCUCCGGACGAGGGUUCAACUCCCUCCGUCUCCACUA
rnacentral:tmRNA from 1 species